UACUUGCUGGGUUUUAUUGGGGCAAUGUC
rnacentral:piRNA from 1 species